GGGGGGGGGGGGGGGGGGGGGGUGGGGGGGGGGGGGGGGGGGUGGGGGGCCGGGGGGGGCGGACGGGGGGGGGGGGGGUGGGUGGUGCAGGGGGACGUUGCCCGUCGGGGGGGAUCACUACUCGCAGGGUUAGCUUAUACCCCAUACGGUCUCUGGAUGAGAGCGGGGGACCGGAACGCGGCGCGCCAUUUCGCCAGCCGAUCUCCGAUUAGGUAGUUGGUGGGGUAAAGGCUCACCAAGCCAACGAUCUGUAGCUGGUCUGAGAGUCCGACCAGCCACACUGGGAAUGAGACACGGCCCAGACUCCUACGGGAGGCAGCAGUGGGGAAUUUUGGACAAUGGGCGCAAGCCUGAUCCAGCAAUGCCGCGUGCAGGAAGAAGGCCUUCGGGUUGUAAACUGCUUUUGUACGGAACGAAACGGCUCUGGUUAAUACCCGGGGCUAAUGACGGUACCGUAAGAAUAAGCACCGGCUAACUACGUG
rnacentral:rRNA from 1 species